GGGCGCUUGGCUCAGCUGGUUAGAGCGCUUGCCUCACACGCAGGAGGUCAGUGGUUCGAAUCCACUAGCGCCCA
rnacentral:tRNA from 1 species